AUUGAACGCUGGCGGCAGGCCUAACACAUGCAAGUCGAGCGGAUGAAGGGAGCUUGCUCCUGGAUUCAGCGGCGGACGGGUGAGUAAUGCCUAGGAAUCUGCCUGGUAGUGGGGGAUAACGUCCGGAAACGGGCGCUAAUACCGCAUACGUCCAGAGGGAGAAAGUGGGGGAUCUUCGGACCUCACGCUAUCAGAUGAGCCUAGGUCGGAUUAGCUAGUUGGUGGGGUAAAGGCCUACCAAGGCGACGAUCCGUAACUGGUCUGAGAGGAUGAUCAGUCACACUGGAACUGAGACACGGUCCAGACUCCUACGGGAGGCAGCAGUGGGGAAUAUUGGGCAAAGGGCGAAAGCCUGAUCCAGCCAUGCCGCGUGUGUGAAGAAGGUCUUCGGAUUGUAAAGCACUUUAAGUUGGGAGGAAGGGCAGUAAGUUAAUACCUUGCUGUUUUGACGUUACCAACAGAAUAAGCACCGGCUAACUUCGUG
rnacentral:rRNA from 1 species